GACGAACGCUGGCGGCGUGCCUAAUACAUGCAAGUCGAGCGGACCAAUAGAAGCUUGCUUCUAUUGGUUAGCGGCGGACGGGUGAGUAACACGUGGGCAACCUGCCUGUAAGACUGGGAUAACUUCGGGAAACCGGAGCUAAUACCGGAUAAUUCAUCCCCUCGCAUGAGGGGAUGCUGAAAGUUGGUUCACGCUGACACUUACAGAUGGGCCCGCGGCGCAUAAGCUAGUUGGUGAGGUAAUGGCUCACCAAGGCGACGAUGCGUAGCCGACCUGAGAGGGUGAUCGGCCACACUGGGACUGAGACACGGCCCAGACUCCUACGGGAGGCAGCAGUAGGGAAUCUUCCACAAUGGACGAAAGUCUGAUGGAGCAACGCCGCGUGAGCGAUGAAGGCCUUCGGGUCGUAAAGCUCUGUUGUUAGGGAAGAACAAGUAUCGGAGUAACUGCCGGUACCUUGACGGUACCUAACCAGAAAGCCACGGCUAACUACGUGCCAGCCGCCGCAGUAAAAC
rnacentral:rRNA from 1 species